rnacentral:rRNA from 1 species
UUAGGAAUCUUCGGCAAUGGGCGAAAGCCUGACCGAGCGACGCCGCGUGAAGGAUGAAGGCCCUCGGGUCGUAAACUUCUAAAAGAGGGACGAUAGUGGCGGUACCUCUUGAAAAGCACCGGCUAACUCCGUGCCAGCAGCCGCGGUAAUACGGAGGGUGCAAGCGUUAUCCGGAAUCACUGGGCGUAAAGGGCGCGUAGGCGGUCUGUUAAGUCCGAUGUUAAAGACUGGGGCUCAACCCCGGCAUGGCGUUGGAUACUGGCAGGCUUGACGGUUGGAGAGGCGAGUGGAAUUACCAGUGUAGCGGUGAAAUGCGUAGAUACUGGUAGGAACACCCAUUGCGAAGGCAGCUCGCUGGACAACACGUGACGCUGAGGCGCGAAAGUGUGGGGAGCAAAC